GGGGCCUUAUCUCAGCGGUAGAGAGCCCGAUUCCAGUUGUGGAGACUCCGGGAGGUCGUCCGUUCGAUCCGGGCAGGCCUCA
rnacentral:tRNA from 1 species